CCUACGAGAGGCAGCAGUGAGGAAUAUUGGUCAAUGGACGAGAGUCUGAACCAGCCAAGUAGCGUGAAGGAUGACUGCCCUAUGGGUUGUAAACUUCUUUUAUAUGGGAAUAAAGUUCAGUAUGUAUACUGUUUUGUAUGUACCAUAUGAAUAAGGAUCGGCUAACUCCGUGCCAGCAGCCGCGGUAAUACGGAGGAGCCGAGCGUUAUCCGGAUUGAUUGGGGUUAAAGGGAGCGUAGGCGGACGCGUAAGUCAGUUGUGCAAGUCCACGGCUCAACCGUGGAACUACUGCUAAUACUGGUGGACUUGAGUGCAGGAGGGGCAACCGGAAUUCGUAGUGUAGCGGUGGAAUGCGUAGAUAUCAGGAGGAACACCAGUGGCGAAGGCGGGUUGCUAGACUGUAACUGACACUGAGGCACGAAAGCGUGGGGAGCAAACAGGAUUAGAUACCCCUGUAGUC
rnacentral:rRNA from 1 species